UGGACGAAAGUCUGACCAAGCGACGCCGCGUGCGGGAUGAAGGCCUUCGGGUUGUAAACCGCUGUCGUAGGGAAUCAAAUGUACGGGGGUUCUCCCCUGUAUUUGAGAGAUCCUAGGAGGAAGGAGAGGCUAAGCUCGUGCCAGCAGCCGCGGUAAGACGAGCUCUCCAAACGUUAUUCGGUAUUACUGGGCUUAAAGAGUUCGUAGGCGGCUUUGUAGGUGGGGUGUGAAAGCCCUCGGCCUAACCGAGGAACUGCGCCCCAAACCACAGGGCUUGAGGGGUAUAGGGGUAAGCGGAACAGAUGGUGGAGCGGUGAAAUGCAUUGAUAUCAUCUGGAACACCGGUGGCGAAGGCGGCUUACUGGAUACUUUCUGACGCUGAGGAACGAAAGCUAGGGUAGCGAACGGGAUUAGAUACCCCGGUAGUCCUAGCCGUAAACGAUGAGCACUAGUCUGAGGAUCUGUCACAGAUUCUCGGACGUAGCGAAAGUGUUAAGUGCUCCGCCUGGGGA
rnacentral:rRNA from 1 species